rnacentral:misc_RNA from 1 species
AAUGGAAUGAAAAUUGAAGCUGUUGAUGUGGCUUAUACUUUUGGGAUUGAGGAUAAGUUUCCUCCUCAGAAGCUUCUGACUUCUUUCUCCUCUUUGAUGCUUCUUUAGUAUCUCGCAGGGGGAAGCAAAUAAUUCACCUAUCUUACUGAAAGAAGCAAAUGAGAAGCAGUUGGCUGCUCUGAAAUCAGUAACAAAGCUACUUGAAGACCGCAAGCUUGAUCCAGUAAAGGUUCUUCCUGGAUGGCAACUUAGGGAAAUGAGAGACAAGCUAGAGAAAGAAAUUGCUGACCUCAGUAAAAGGAUAGAAGAUAAGGCGGCAUUAAAAAGAAAAGCAGAUGGGAAUGAGUUCUCAAAGAAGAGUCAAGAAACAAAACGUCCACGAUUUGCGGGUUCACCCCUGAUAUCCUCUCCAGGCAUUGGGUUGCUCGAACAAAGGGCUGCUGGUCAUGUGGAUGGCAGUGGCUUGUACAAUGCUUCCCUGCGAAUGAACUUGUUGGAUGGUGGAUUUUCUGGUCAUGUCAACAAUCCUUCUGUUGCUGGAUCUGUGUUGUAUGGAUCUGGUGUGGUAUCUUUGCCUGAACAUGUCCGUGGCACAGUGGCAGGAGGUGGGACUGUAAUGCAUGGUGCUGGAGUGGGUCUCUCAGCUGCAUAUAGUAUUCCAUCCACCAGUUCAUUUGCUGGAGUUCACAGGGAGAUGCUUGUUGAUAGGACCGGGCAAAUAAUGGCUAGCAAUGGUGCAGCAUAUGGAUGGCCUGGUGUUGGGGAUGCUGCCUUUAUUGAUGGUUCUCGGGGGCAGAGCUUUAUUCAUCAACCAGCAUUUGGGUUGUUUGGGCCAUCAUCAUCAAUAGAAGGUUUUGUGGGUGUAUCAAAUUCUCCACCUAUUGGUGCUGCUAAUAGGAGCUCAACGUCUGAUCUAUAUCGAUUUGCUGAUGCUGUUAAGUGAGUACAGCAGUGGUACUCAGCAAGGCUAGCCCAAUACAACCUGUUGAUUCUGAUGCUGACUCCCAUUGCCUUGUUUGAUUUGUAAAGUAAAUAUAGUUAAUUUUCUGGAAUGGAGAAAAUAGCAGAAGCAUGAGUUGAUUUUCAUUGUACAAGGUGCUGCUCUGCAUGUUAAACUUAUCUGCCAAUGCAUUGGGUCGUAUGGCAAACACAAUCCACUUAAGAUAUUUUACCUAGUGUGGAGAAAAUGCAUCGGUAAGAUCUACUGUAUUCUUUCAAGUCUUUGUGCAAUGAGAAGUUGAUGCGAGUAGUCUUUCAUUGCUAAUAUUAUGCAAGUAAUGAUGCAAGAUGCAAAAGUUGCAAAACACAAUAGAUUCUGAUUAGUCAGAAAGGUCUUAUGGAGGAAAAAGCUUGCAAGUGGUCUAAUACUGAACUAAUUAGGACUGGGAUUGGCUUAACUCAACUUCUGUUCAAAAAAUGGAGGGAAAAAUGUACUCUUGGAUUUCUUACUUUUUAUUCUGG